rnacentral:tRNA from 1 species
GGGGGCGUAGCUUAGCCCGGUUAAAAGCGCCUCCCUGUCACGGAGGAGAACGUCGGUUCAAAUCCGAUCGCCCCCG